rnacentral:lncRNA from 1 species
AAAGAUGAGGUGCACUUGUUUUACAGUCUGACUCAAAGGAUCUUCCAGGUUGCUCCAUAUGAUUUUUAAUACACGGUUGACAACAUCCCUAGAGAAAGGCUUAUAGUCACCAGAGAAGUCAGUGAAAUCAGCCAAAACAAAUGUCUUAAUCUGCUGCAGACAUAUUUGAGUAACUGCCAGAGCAUGGAAAUUGAAGUGCCUGUCAAUGGGGUUCUCACAGUGCAUGCAAAGCUCAGGUAAAAUCCCAUCAUACAAUACAGUCCAUAAAGAUCCAUUUGAAUGAAGCUGACGCACAUUGAGUGCUUUCCUUGGAAUAGCCGUCAAAAUUCCUCUGAGCAAACAUAGUCUACUCAAAACCGAGAGAUCUCUGAUUUCUUCACUCAGAUGAAAAUCAGAAAGUGC